rnacentral:tRNA from 1 species
GGUUAUGGUUCAGUGGUAGAGUGCAAGACUUGUGUAUGUGAGGCACUGGGAUCGAUCCUCAGCACCA